rnacentral:rRNA from 1 species
AACGUGUCGCGAUGGAUGACUUGGCUUCUCAGGACCCGCCCGGG